UACGUAGGGGGCAAGCGUUGUCCGGAAUCAUUGGGCGUAAAGAGCGUGUAGGCGGUUUGACAAGUCCGCUGUGAAAGUCCAGGGCUCAACCCUGGAAUGCCGGUGGAAACUGUCAAGCUAGAGUCCGGAAGAGGCGAGUGGAAUUCCUGGUGUAGCGGUGAAAUGCGCAGAUAUCAGGAGGAACACCUAUGGCGAAGGCAGCUCGCUGGGACGUGACUGACGCUGAGACGCGAAAGCGUGGGGAGCAAACAGG
rnacentral:rRNA from 1 species